GGGGUUGUAGCUCAGUGAUACAGCAUCUGCCUUGUGUGCAAGAUGUCCUCGGUUCGAUCCCUGGCAUUGCCA